CCCUGGCCCACUGGAGGAGAUUACAGCUAGCAAGUGCAGUUCCACGACUCCAACAUCAAGUUCCUGCUGCUCCGCCGCGUCCUGCGCCAUCAGCACAAGUCAUGCUUCACUACCAAGAGGCCCAACACCUUCUGCUAGUUGCAGGGCCCUCUCACCCCAGUGUGCCCCAAAUACACUCGGGUAUGCCAAGAAAGAAAAAAAGAAAGGAAGGAAGAAAGAGAGAGAGAAAGAAAGAGAGAGAGGAAGAAAAAGAAAAUUUGAAGAUCUAUAGAGAUUAUGCAAUCUUAAGAACAGAGUAAGAAAAAGAAUGAAGAAAAAUUAACAGCUUCACAGAAAUCUGGGACACCAUUAACCACACACCAAUAUAUAUGUAAUGGGAAUACU